CUCCAACUCAUUGGCCAAUGAGGUAUGUAUUCUUGAUGUCAUUGAUGGGUUUAUUGACUUUUGACUUUGGGUGGCGCCGUGGUGGAAUGGAAUGUAAGGUGUUGCAUAUGGAGAUGGGAGUCACUUUCAUGAAGUUUACCUGCCGCCUCUGAUCCUUAAUAUCUAAGCACGUAAGGGUUAUUGGAAUCUUAAAGUGUUGAAGAGAUAUUUCAACAGCUCGCACCAUAAGCAAUGAUUUUCGGUGGAUGAAUUGAGCGAGGCAUUUAACCUUACUUUUUAUAAGGUACUAGUAACCUUCAUUUGCGUUACCUGAUUAUUGGAGAUAUAUUUUGCAUCCUGAAUAUGGGAAUUUUAGCACAAUAACCUAGAAUUUAUAUGAGCAUUAAAGAAGAAGAGAAAGAGAAAUGGCCUAUUCUGUUGUUCUUCUGUGGGCUAGUAAUUGCAGCAAAUAGCUCACAACGUUUAUGUGAAGGUUGGCUAGCAGAGACCCUCCGCCCUAAGCAAAAAAAAUCCCUACCCGCGGCUCAAUCUUUCUUCCUGCAUUUAUUUAAAUGCAGCUAUGGCACGUGAAUCAGUUAUUGCAGAUUAUCCAUAUCAAGAAUGUAAUUGUCACUUUCCUGCUAAUGACGAUUUUCUCUUUUAAAAGUGUCAUAUUAUAUUGAGAAAAAUUUAAAGAAGCAAUUUCUGUUGUUUGAUUA